AGGGUGACAAUUAUUCUUGGUUGUUUCUGUGGGGGCGAGGAAAAAAAAAUGAGGGGGGUGGGGGAUCAGGCAGGGUUUGAGAGAAUUUCAUAUUUACUGCUAAUCAAGUGCGAUGACAAAGAUGCUUGAACAAAAGUGUUCACAAUUUCUUUUAUGGUGGUACAUUCAUUCAGACAGCACGCAAUCCACCAAUUCUUGCCCUGAAUAUCAACUGAUCUUUACUGAUCACAAGCUGUGUGAUUAGGAAUCAAGUUUGAUGCUGUAAAUGUUAUUUUCUUUCUGCUUGUACCACUUGUAAGCUGCUGCCACCCAGGUCAUUUCUUAUUAAACGUAUUUAGAGACAUGGAAGGAUAGUUGUUCAAAAUGCUCUGUACUUUGUAAUAAAAUGAUUCCUCAAAAAAUUCGACUGAAUAAGCAAGCCCUUCAAAAUAAUUAUUUCUCGC
rnacentral:misc_RNA from 1 species